CCUACGGGUGGCAGCAGUGAGGAAUAUUGGUCAAUGGACGAGAGUCUGAACCAGCCAAGUAGCGUGAAGGAUGACUGCCCUAUGGGUUGUAAACUUCUUUUAUAUGGGAAUAAAAUGUUCCACGUGUGGGAUUUUGUAUGUACCAUAUGAAUAAGGAUCGGCUAACUCCGUGCCAGCAGCCGCGGUAAUACGGAGGAUCCGAGCGUUAUCCGGAUUUAUUGGGUUUAAAGGGAGCGUAGGUGGAUUGUUAAGUCAGUUGUGAAAGUUUGCGGCUCAACUGUAAAAUUGCAGUUGAAACUGGCAGUCUUGAGUACAGUAGAGGUGGGCGGAAUUCGUGGUGUAGCGGUGAAAUGCUUAGAUAUCACGAAGAACUCCGAUUGCGAAGGCAGUUCACUGGACUGCAACUGACACUGAGGCUCGAAAGUGUGGGUAUCAAACAGGAUUAGAUACCCUAGUAGUC
rnacentral:rRNA from 1 species